GGUGCGCCGGCUGGAGGCUGAGGAGCGCGGUCACCAGGCCACCGGCGCGGCCCGGGAGCGCGCCCAGCAGCAGGAAGUAGCGCGAGAGGUCCAGCAGGCCGGGGCCCAGCCCACGGCCGCACCGGCGGACCGCACCGCGCAGCAGCAAGAGAUCACUAGGGAGGUGAAGCACGUGGUGGCAGAGGUGCAGUCGGGGCAACCCCACAGUAGGUCACAACACGAGGCGCAAGAGCAGGAAAUAGCGAGGGAAAUCAAACAAGCUGAAGCGGAAGCGCAGUCGGGGCAAGGCCCUUCUGAUACAUCACUACAGGUGGCACAGCAGCAGGAGGUUGCGAGAGAGAUCAAACAAGCUGAGGCGGAAGCGCAAUCGGGACAAGGCUCUUCUGAUACAUCACGACAGGUAGCACAGCAGCAAGAGGUUGCGAGAGAGAUCGAACAAGCUGAAGCAGAAUCGCAGAAUGCAGACAGAUCGCAACAUGGGGCGCAACAGCAGGAGAUCGCGAGGGAGGUGAAACAAGUUGUGGCAGAAAUACGAUCGGGGCAGUCUCCGAGUGCCUUGCAGCAGGAAGCCCGAGAACGAGAGAUUGCAGGAGAAAUCACACAACUUGAGGCACAAGUCCAUGCUAACGCGGCCGAUUACUUAUCACCAGACACGGAUCGGUCAUUGGGUGAUAGCUACUCAGACGAAGAUGAAAACGAAGAUGACAGCGAACAGAAUGAUGAUGACCGAGAUCCUCACAUCUACGAUGAUUUCUUCGCUAAUGACGACGGCGCAGUGCAGAAAAAAGGUGAUCACGAGGAAGCGUCCUCCUGGAAUUCAAAAGACCACAAUGCUGCAGUUGACGCUCCAGAAACGCUGACCAGCGGCCAAACGCGGUCUGUGGGCAGCCAUCAAGGUCAGGCAGAGAUCUCAGCGGGCAGCAAGGGUCACGUCAAGGCCGCCGCCUUCAAGUCGUGGCAGGCGACGACCAUGACGGUGGCCAUGUGCGCCGUGAUUGGCCUUGUCCUGCUCACCGUGGUUGGAGUCUGGUUCCGCCACUUCAGCCCCGAAUCACCCAAGCCACAGAACCUGCUGCUGGAAGACGACGAGAACACCGUGUACAACAACACCACCAGCACCCGGCCGGCCGGCCCGCACCAGGUCGGUCGUUACGCCCGCCUGACGUGACCGUGACGUCACCCGUCGGUGUGACGUCAUCCGUCCGCCCCACCGCCGCACGCCGGGCCCUCGUCUCUCCGCAGCCGAGGUGGCCCACGGGAUGAGGUCACGAUGCAAACUCCCACGGGGUCACGAUGCAAUCUCCCAUCACCGCAUCGUCACAGGACACGCGGUGCGCGCAUCGCCUGGCGUCAGGCCACUGGACGUGUAUCGGGGUGUAGUGAGAUCUCGACGAGGUCGGGGUGUAACAGGCAAGUUCAGCUCGGUGCACCCCUUUGGUUGACCACCCACCAGCCAACCAUAACAGAGCCUACGGCUGACUGUGCGUUGGACGUUAGACGCGACGUUAGACGUUACGUUAGAAGGAAGUGUUUGUACUAUCGCUGCUACAUGCCGGCUCCCGGUGUGGCGAAGCACGCAUGUCUAAUCACGAACGCGUCCCAGAUCAGAGGGAAUGACUGUGGCUUGAGUUGGGAUUCCGAAUACCGAUUCCAUCCGGUAUUUUGCGAUUCAGUUUGCUACACGAUCAUAAAGCGAAGCUGAGUCCUAAUCAAGCGUAUUUGUCAGUCAGGGUACACCACAUGGUUAAAGAAAGGCGGGGCGUCCAUUAAGAAUCGGUAGCGCUGGCCAUGUCAAACAUGCGUAGGAAGUCCCAGUGACUGCGCACGCACAUUGGCACCAUGGUGUAGUGAAUGGGACCAAACCGAAUGACCCAUAACUUGCAGCUGAUAAAGCGAACAAGUGAGCCUGCGUGGCGGACAGCAAGCCGGCAACGACGUCAGUGAAUCGACAUCAAUAUACUGUGAUUUUUCCAA
rnacentral:lncRNA from 1 species